GGCGGCAUGGCCAAGCGGCAAGGCAGGGGACUCCAAAUCCUUUAUCCCCAGUUCAAAUCUGGGUGCCGCCU
rfam:Triticum aestivum genome assembly, contig: Triticum_aestivum_CS42_TGACv1_scaffold_306373_4AS